rnacentral:lncRNA from 1 species
AUCUAGUUGCAGUCCAUCAUAGACCGUGCUCCAUGCUAUCCACCAGAUACGAUGUAGACCGAUCAGGGGUGGGUGACUUCUAAUGGUGGCUAUUUUGUUUUGGCAUGAUCCGAUAACUCUAGUUCGAGCCAAUCAGGAUCGGAUGGCUAAGACUCAAUCUGGGUUUGAGCUAGAGAUUAGAGGCAUGAUCCAAUGGUUUUGAUGUGAUCUGGAUGUGAUCGGAUGGCCCAGAUCGAAUUCGAGCAUGAUCUGGACACAGUAUGC